rnacentral:rRNA from 1 species
UACGAGGGGUGCAAGCGUUGCUCGGAAUUAUUGGGCGUAAAGGGUAGGUAGGUGGUCUCAUUUGUCCGGGGUGAAAGCCUUGAGCUUAACUCAAGAAGUGCCUCGGAAACGGUGAGACUAGAGUCUUGGAGAGGGUCGUGGAAUUCCCGGUGUAGCGGUGAAAUGCGUAGAGAUCGGGAGGAACACCAGUGGCGAAGGCGGCGUCCUGGCCUGCGACUGACGCUGUGGCGCGAAAGCUAGGGGAGCGAACGGG